rnacentral:rRNA from 1 species
UCCGGUUGAUCCUGCCGGCGGUCACCGCUAUUGGGGUUCGAUUAAGACAUGCGAGUCGUGAGGGUUCGGCCCUCGGCAGACUGCUCAGUAACACGUGGAUAACCUGCCCUCAGGUGGAGGAUAAUCUCGGGAAACUGAGGAUAAUACUCCAUAGGCCAUUGAUGCUGGAAUGCUCUCUGGCCGAAAGCUCCGGCGCCUGAGGAUGGGUCUGCGGCCUAUCAGGUUGUAGUUGGGGUAAAGGCCCAACUAGCCAGCGACGGGUACGGGCCUUGAGAGAGGGAGCCCGGAGAUGGACUCUGAGACACUAGUCCAGGCCCUACGGGGCGCAGCAGUCGCGAAAACUUCACACUGCGGGAACCCGUGAUGAGGGAACCCCAAGUGCCUGGGCAUUAGCUCAGGCUGUUCACCUGUCUAAAAAACAGGUGAAGUAAGGGCUGGGUAAGACCGGUGCCAGCCGCCGCGGUAAUACCGGCAGCCCAAGUGGUGACCCUUUUUAUUGAGCCUAAAACGUCCGUAGCCGGUCCGGCAAAUCUCUGGGCAAAUCGGGCAGCUCAACUGUUCGACUUCCAGAGAGACUACCGGACUAGGGACCGGGAGAGGUCAGAGGUACGUUGGGGGUAGGGGUAAAAUCCUUUAAUCCUCAACGGACCACCGGUGGCGAAGGCGUCUGACUAGAACGGAUCCGACGGUAAGGGACGAAGGCUAGGGGCGCAAACCGGAUUAGAUACCCGGGUAGUCCUAGCUGUAAACGCUGCAGGCUUGGUGUUGGAGCUCCUUAGCGGGGUUCCAGUGCCGUAGCGAAGGUGUUAAGCCUGCUGCUUGGGGAGUACGGUCGCAAGACUGAAACUUAAAGGAAUUGGCGGGAGAGCACAGCAACGGGAGGAGCGUGCGGUUUAAUUGGAUUCAACGCCGGG